CUUCUCCUGCUGCUAUUGCUGCUGCUGCUGCUGCUGCUGGUGUAUCUUCUGCAGCAGCAGCAGCAGCAGCAGCAGCAGAAGAGGAAGAGGAGAGAGCAGCAAUUUGUGUAUGUACUUUAUAAGCUAUCUGCUGCAGCUCAUGGU
rnacentral:snoRNA from 1 species